AAUGAACGCUGGCGGCAUGCCUAACACAUGCAAGUCGAACGAAGGCUUCGGCCUUAGUGGCGCACGGGUGCGUAACGCGUGGGAAUCCGCCCUCAGGUUCGGAAUAACAGCGAGAAAUUGCUGCUAAUACCGGAUGAUAUCGCGAGAACACGGAUUUAUCGCCUGAGGAUGAGCCCGCGUAGGAUUAGAUAGUUGGUGUGGUAAAGGUGCACCAAGGCGACGAUCCUUAGCUGGUCUGAGAGGAUGAUCAGCCACACUGGGACUGAGACACGGACCAGACUCCUACGGGAGGCAGCAGUGGGGAAUAUUGGACAAUGGGCGAAAGCCUGAUCCAGCAAUGCCGCGUGAGUGAUGAAGGCCUUAGGGUUGUAAAGCUCUUUUACCCGGGAUGAUAAUGACAGUACCGGGAGAAUAAGCUCCGGCUAACUCCGUGCCAGCCGCCGCAGUAA
rnacentral:rRNA from 1 species